rnacentral:rRNA from 1 species
UACGUAGGACCCAAGCGUUAUCCGGAGUGACUGGGCGUAAAGAGUUGCGUAGGCGGCUCGUUAAGUGGAUAGUGAAACCUGGUGGCUCAACCAUUCAGACUAUUAUCCAAACUGGCGAGCUCGAGAAUGGUAGAGGUAGUUGGAAUUUCGUGUGUAGGAGUGAAAUCCGUAGAUAUACGAAGGAACACCAAUGGCGUAGGCAGACUACUGGACCAUUUCUGACGCUAAGGCACGAAAGCGUGGGGAGCGAACCGG